GGGCGAAUAGCUCAGCGGCAGAGCGUCCGCCUUACACGCGGAAGGUCCCAGGUUCAAAUCCUGGUUCGCCCA
rnacentral:tRNA from 1 species